GGGCGGGCCCUGUGCGACGGGGCGCCAUGAACCGUGUCAGAUGGGGAACCAAGCAGCACUAAGUGGCCGUUUCCGUGCGCCGCAGGCAUCCUGUCCUCU
rnacentral:SRP_RNA from 1 species